GAUGAACGCUGGCGGCGUGCCUAAUACAUGCAAGUCGAGCGAACGGACGAGAAGCUUGCUUCUCUGAUGUUAGCGGCGGACGGGUGAGUAACACGUGGAUAACCUACCUAUAAGACUGGGAUACCUUCGGGAAACCGUAGCUAAUACCGGAUAAUAUUUUGAACCGCAUGGUUCAAAAGUGAAAGACGGUCUUGCUGUCACUUAUAGAUGGAUCCGCGCUGCAUUGGCUAGUUGGUAAGGUAACGGCUUACCAAGGCAACGAUGCAUAGCCGACCUGAUAGGGUGAUCGGCCACACUGGAAGUGAGACACGGACCAGGCUCCUACGAGAGGCAGCAGUAGGGAAUCGGCCGCAAUAGGCGAAAGCCUUGCGGAGCGACGCCGCGUGAGUGAUGACGGUCUUCGGAUCGUAAAACUCUGUUAUGAGGGAAGAACAUAUGUGUGAGUAACUGUGCACAUCGUGACGGUACCUAAUCAGAAAGCCACGGCUAACUACGUG
rnacentral:rRNA from 1 species